rnacentral:tRNA from 1 species
AAAUAUGAAGCGAUUUAUUGCAAUUAGUUUCGACCUAAUCUUAGGUAUAUUACCCUUAUUUA